UACGAAGGUGGCAAGCGUUGUUCGGAUUUACUGGGCGUAAAGGGCUCGUAGGCGGCCAACUAAGUCCGACGUGAAAUCCCAAGGCUUAACCUUGGAACUGCGUCGGAUACUGGUUGGCUUGAAUUCGGGAGAGGGAUGCAGAAUUCCAGGUGUAGCGGUGAAAUGCGUAGAUAUCUGGAGGAAUACCGGUGGCGAAGGCGGCAUCCUGGACCGACAUUGACGCUGAGGAGCGAAAGCUAGGGGAGCAAACGGG
rnacentral:rRNA from 1 species